rnacentral:lncRNA from 1 species
GUUUAGGGUUUUAGGGUUUAGGGUUUAGGGUUUCUAGGGUUUAGGGUUUAGGGUUAGGGUUCAGGCUGUUUAGGGUUUAGGGUUUAGGUUUAGGGUUAGGGUAAGGGUUAGGGUUUAGGGUUAGGUUUACGGGUUUCCGGGUUUAGGUUAGGGUUUAGGUUUAUGGUAGGGUUAAUGGUAGGGUUUAGGGUUAGGGUUAGGGUUUAGGGUUUAGGGUUUAGGGUUUAGGGUUUAGCGGUUUAGGGUUUAGGGUUUAGGGUAAGGGUUAGGUUUUAGGGUUUAGGUUAGGGUUAGGUUAGUUUAGGGUUUUAGGGUUUAGGGUUUAGGUUAGGGUUUAGGGUUUAGGGUUUAGGGUUUAGUUAGGGUUAGGGUUUUAGGGUUUAGGGUUUAGGCUUAGGGCUUUCAGGGUUUAGGUUAGGUUUACGGCGUUUAGGUUUAGGGUUUAGGUAGGGUUAAGGGUUUAGGUUCAGGGUUUAUGGGUUUAAUGGUAGGGUUUAGGGUUAGGGUUUUAGGUUUGGGUUUAGGUUUAGGGUUAGGGUUUAGGGUUUAGGUUUAGGGUUAGGGUUUAGGGUUUAGAAGCGUUAGUGGUUUAGGGUUAGGUUUACGGCUUUAGGUUUUAGGGUUAGGGUUAGGGUUUAGGGUUUAGGGUUUAAGGUUUAGGGUUUAUGGUUUAGGGUUUAGGUUCUAGGGUUUAAGGGUUUCGGUUUUAGGCGUUUAGGUUUAGGGUUUAGGUUAGGCUUUUAGGGUUAGGUUUAGGCUUUAGGGUUAGGGUUAAUAGGGUUUAGGCGUUAGGGUUUAGGGUUUAUGGUUUAGGGUUUAAGGGUUUAGGUUAGGUUUAGGUUUAGGUUAGGUUUUAGGGUUAGGUUUAGGUUUAGUUAGGUUAAGGGUUAGGUUUAGGCCUUUAAGGGUUUCAGGUUAGGGUUUAGGGUUAGGGUUUAGCGUUUUAGGUUUAGGUUUUACGGUUUAGGGUUUAAGGUGUUAUUGGGUUUAGGGUUUAGGUUUGGGUUUAUGGUUUAUGGUUUAGGUUUAGUUUAGGGUUAGGUUUAGGUUUAGGGUUUAGGUUAGGUUUAGGGUUUACGUUUAGGUUAGGGUUCUAGGUUAGGUUUAGGGUUAAGGGUUUAGGUUUAGGGUUUCGGUUAGGUUUUAUGGUUUAGGGUUUAGGGUUAGGUUUAGGGUUUAGGUUAGGGUUAUGGUUUAGGUUCUAGGUUUAGGCUUUAGGGUUUAAAAAACGGGUUCUUAGGGUUAGGUUUACGGUUUCACGGUUUAGGUUUAGGGUUUAAGGGUUUAAGUUUGGGGUUAGGGUUAGGGUUAGGUUUAGGUUUAGGGUUUAGUGUUUUAGGUUUAGGCCUUUAGGGUUUACGGGUUUAGGGUUUAGGGUUAGGUUAGGGUUUAGGGUUAGGUUUAGGGUUUAGGGUAGGGUUUAGGUUAGGGUUUUAGGGUUUAAGGUUUAGGUUUAGGGUUUAGGUUUAGGGUUUAGGUUUAGGGUUUAGGUUUGAGGUUUAGGGUUUAGGUUUAAGGUUUUUAAGGGGUUUUUUAGGUUUAGGGUUAGGGUUUAGGGUUUAAGGGUCUUUAGGGUUAGGUUUAGGGUUUAGUUUAGGGUUUAGGUUAGGUUUAGGGUUUAGGUUUAGGGUUUAGGGUUUAGGUUUAGGUUUAAGUUUAGGGUUUAGGUUAGGUAGGUUAGUUAGGUUUUAGGUUUAGGUUUAGGUUUAUGUUAGGGUUUAGGGUUAGGGUAGGUUCUAGGGUUUAGCGGUUUAGGGUUAGGGGUUUAGGUUUAGGGUUUAGGGUAUAGGGUUUAGGGUUUAAGGUUAGGGUUAGGGUUUAGUUUAGGUUAGGGUUUAGGGUUAGGGUUUAGCGUUAUAGGGUUAGGGUUUAGGGUUUACGGGUUUGGGUUAGGGUUUUAGGGUUAGUUUAGGGUUUAGGGUUUAGGUUUAGGGUUUUAGGUUUAGGGUUUUAGGGUUGGGUUAGUUAGGGUUUAGUAGGUUAGGGUUUAGGUUAGGGUUAGGGUUUUAGGGUAGGUUUAGGGUUUAGGGUUUAGGGUUUAGGGUUAGGGUUUAGGGUUUAGGGUUUAGGGUUAGGUUUAGGUUUAGGUUAGGGUUUAGGGUUAGGGUUUAGGUUAGGGUAGGGUAGGUUUAAGGGUUAGGGUUUACAGGUUUUAGGGUUUAGGGUUUAAGGGUAGUUUAGGGUUUAGUGGUUUAGGGUUUCAGGGUUUAGGGUUUAGGUUUAGGUAGGGUUAGGUUUAGGGUUUAGGUUAGGUUUUAGGGUUUAGGUUUAGGGUUUAGGUUUGGGUUUAGUUUAGGUUUAGGGUUAGGUUAGGGUUAGGGUUAGGGUUUAGGGUUUAGGGUUACGGGUUUAGGGUUUAGGGUUUAGGGUUUAGGGUUUAAGGUUUGGGUUAUGGUAGGUUUAAGGUUUAGGUUUAGGGUUUACGGGUUUACGGGGUUUAGGGUUUAGGGUUUAGGGUUAGGGUGUAGGGAUUUAGGGUUAGGUUUCUAGGUUUAGGGGU